rnacentral:lncRNA from 1 species
GUCACUAAAUAUAUGUAAAAAAAUCUAAAAAAUGCAUGAUUUUUUCAUUCUAAUCACUUCAUGCAUCCCGUAUCAGGAUUAAUAAUGUGGAUUUUCAUUUUGAAAGGUCCACCAUUGAUUUUCAUUGGAAAGUAUUUAGGGCCAAAUGGACUACAAUUUAUUUUAUCUAACUUUCUCUAAAUAUAUUUGCAUUUGUAGACUUAAUUACUAAAAUGGUCCCUAAGGUCUGGAGGUAAAAUUAUUUUAGUCCCCAACUUUUAAAAAGUUUCAAUCGAAUCAGUUUUGGUCAUUAUCGUCAAUAUUCCAUUGCUAAUCAAACAAAACUGCACAGGUAGUAUUUUUUUUAUGAUGUGGCAACUAGAUAGCAUUUAUAGGUCGAAGAUGUAGCAGAUACAACAAGUGGGGAGGG